rnacentral:rRNA from 1 species
GGGGAAUCUUAGACAAUGGGGGAAACCCUGAUCUAGCCAUGCCGCGUGAUCGAUGAAGGCCUUAGGGUUGUAAAGAUCUUUCAGCUGGGAAGAUAAUGACGGUACCAGCAGAAGAAGCCCCGGCUAACUCCGUGCCAGCAGCCGCGGUAAUACGGAGGGGGCUAGCGUUAUUCGGAUUUACUGGGCGUAAAGCGCACGUAGGCGGAUCAGAAAGUUAGGGGUGAAAUCCCGGGGCUCAACCUCGGAACUGCCUCUAAAACUCCUGGUCUUGAGGUCGAGAGAGGUGAGUGGAAUUCCGAGUGUAGAGGUGAAAUUCGUAGAUAUUCGGAGGAACACCAGUGGCGAAGGCGGCUCACUGGCUCGAUACUGACGCUGAGGUGCGAAAGCGUGGGGAGCAAAC